UACGUAGGUGGCAAGCGUUGUCCGGAUUUACUGGGCGUAAAGAGCGCGCAGGCGGCCAAGUCAGUCGAAUGUGAAAGCCCCCGGCUCAACUGGGGAGGGUCAUUCGAUACUGCUCGGCUCGAAGACAGGAGAGGGAAGUGGAAUUCCCGGUGUAGUGGUGAAAUGCGUAGAUAUCCGGAGGAACACCGGUGGCGAAGGCGGCUUCCUGGACCGACACUGACGCUGAGGCGCGAAAGCUAGGGGAGCAAACGGG
rnacentral:rRNA from 1 species